UACGUAGGUGGCAAGCGUUGUCCGGAUUUACUGGGCGUACAGGGCACGCAGGUGGCUGCAUAGGUGGCGUGUGAAAGCCCCGCGCUUAACGCGGGGAGGCCACGCCAAACGGUGCGGCUCGAGCGAUGCAGAGGGUGGUGGAAUUGCCGGUGUAGUGGUGAAAUGCGUAGAGAUCGGCAGGAACACCAAGGACGAAGGUAACCACCUGGGCAUCAGCUGACACUCAUGUGCGACAGCGUGGGGAGCGAACCGG
rnacentral:rRNA from 1 species